UAUUCCCUGGAACGUAUGUGAUGCCUCGUUCACUGCAGGCCUCACAAGCAUUAAGAAUAGGGAAACAACGCUGAACUGGUGUGCAUGCCCGAUCUUUCGGGAAGCCUGAAGGGUCAGGGACGUUUCCCGCCGUAGGAGCAAAGGCCCUGCGGAGAACAAUCGCACACGACGUUCUGGGGCGCAA
rnacentral:other from 1 species